GCUCGGCAUGGCCGAGGCGGCAUGAAGCCGGGUCGCGGCGGAUAGACGCACUAGUUUCAGGUACUAGCGGGUAAAACCGUGGAGGUUCGAGUCCUCUUCUGGGCACCA
rnacentral:tRNA from 1 species